rnacentral:misc_RNA from 1 species
UCUCCGUUGGUGAACCAGCGGAGGGAUCAUUACCGAGUUUACAACCCCCAAACCCCUGUGAACAUAACUACCGUUGUCUCGGCGGUGCCAGCCCCGGAGGCCCGCCAGCGGCCCCCCAAAAUCUUGUUUUAUACUGUAUCUUCUGAGUAACACGAUUAAAUAAAUCAAAACUUUCAACAACGGAUCUCUUGGUUCUG